rnacentral:lncRNA from 1 species
UUGGACUGAAUUUCCCCCUCCCCCCCUUUGAUGGAAGAAUGUUCCAGAUUCUAAAUUGAGGACUUCAUUAAUGGCAUUAUUACUGUGUUAUGAUUGUUAAAAAACAUUUCCUGUAAGGUACACACUACAUACUAAGGUCGGCCAUCAUUCCUGUUAAGUUUUUUACCAAGCUUAAAAUGAAGCUUUGUGUUUGAAAGUUACAAGCUCAGAUGAAGAUGGUGGUUGUACAUUACUUCAUUUAGAAAAUAUA